CCUACGGGGGGCAGCAGUGAGGAAUAUUGGUCAAUGGGCGGAAGCCUGAACCAGCCAAGUCGCGUGAGGGAAUAAGGCCCUACGGGUCGUAAACCUCUUUUGCCGGGGAGCAAGGACCGGGACGCGUCCCGGCCCGGAGAGUACCCGGAGAAAAAGCAUCGGCUAACUCCGUGCCAGCAGCCGCGGUAAUACGGAGGAUGCGAGCGUUAUCCGGAUUUAUUGGGUUUAAAGGGUGCGCAGGCGGUCCUGCAAGUCUGGAGUGAAACGCAUGAGCCCA
rnacentral:rRNA from 1 species